GACGAACGCUGGCGGCGUGCUUAACACAUGCAAGUCGAACGCUGAAGGCCUGGCUUUUGUUGGGUUGGAUGAGUGGCGAACGGGUGAGUAACACGUGAGUAACCUGCCCUCUUCUUUGGGAUAACGCCCGGAAACGGGUGCUAAUACUGGAUAUUCACUGAUCUUCGCAUGGGGGUUGGUGGAAAGGUUUGUUCUGGUGGGGGAUGGGCUCGCGGCCUAUCAGCUUGUUGGUGGGGUGAUGGCCUACCAAGGCUUUGACGGGUAGCCGGCCUGAGAGGGUGACCGGUCACAUUGGGACUGAGAUACGGCCCAGACUCCUACGGGAGGCAGCAGUGGGGAAUAUUGCACAAUGGGCGAAAGCCUGAUGCAGCGACGCCGCGUGAGGGAUGGAGGCCUUCGGGUUGUAAACCUCUUUCGCUCAUGGUCAAGCCGCAACUGUGGGUUGUGGUGAGGUUAGUGGGUAAAGAAGCGCCGGCUAACUACGUG
rnacentral:rRNA from 1 species